UGUUCUCUGAAAGUAACGCCUCCCUAUCUAACGCCAUGAAAGAACUCCUCUUCACUAUAAUCAGUAGAGUUUCCAUCUCAGAGUAAAUUCAAUCCUUCCAACUUCCGGAAAAUAUACGACCUUCUAUGUCCUUCAAUUCCGUUCACUCUCUUUGUUAACGCCUCCCUAUCUAACGUCUCAAUAUAACCCCUCUUUGCUGUAAUCUACAUCUGAGAUUCGAUCCAAUCCUUCCAGAUUCUACAAAAGAUCCAAUCUUCCAAUCUUCUAUGUCCACUAAAAUUCCAGUAUUUCAAUCACAUCUCAGAGUCAGUUACGGUUCUAGGUUUCCCCUAAUAAUUAGAUUUCCCUUCAGAUUGAUUUAUUAUUGAAAUUACACCAAAAGAAACGCACGCCAUGGAUUUAAUUGCAUGCUGCAUCUAUAAAUUGUCUCCGAAAAUCACAGGGAAGCAUCAAUAUCACCGGUUCAACAUCUUCCCAGACAAAGAGAGAAAUGGCAUCACAGGUUACCUGCAAUAUUCAGAAGGUUGGACCCUCAGCCACACAGGACACACUCAAGAGCUUACGAUCACUUGACGAAGGAAAAAAAACAUCGUUACCGUCCGUGUUACCCGGAAAUGGGAAGAGUUGGACUUCAUGUCGACCAACGACGUUAUCAGCGUUGAUAUGGUUAUUUUGACGAACAGGGGGAAUAAUUACACGCCGUCAUACCCAAAAAUCUUAUUUGGAAGUUUGAUAAGCUGAUUCGGGAGGGAGGUCUGUACUCUAUGCAGAAACUACACUUGACCACUGCUAAAUCGAAGUUCCGUCUUGCGCACAAUGAGAAGCGGGCCUUCUUCCGGAGCACCACCUCCAUCAUUGCUUUGGAUGCCUAUUCCGUGUACAUUAUUCCCCAUAAAUUCUGUUUCACUGAGUUUGAGGACAUAGAAUCAAACCUCCAAAUCAUACAUCUUACAGCUGUGGUGGGUUUCUUAAAAACAGUCACCAACAUCCAGGUGCUUCAAAGGUCUGGUGGGCAAUAAAGCCGAAUGCGCGAGAUCACAAUUGAAAAUCUCAGGGGUACAACUAUGAAAAUUGCUCUAUGGGGUUCUACCGCCAACCAAGUAGGGGAUGACCCAAUUGAUGCGACUCCAUCCCCCGUCCUCUUUUGGUUUCCGUGUGCUCCACUUUUGUUAAGAACCACCAAGGGCGAAUCUCUUCGACCAAUGCCACCAAAGUCUACGCGGAUGCAGACAUACCCGAAGUCGUUGAAAUGCGAGAAAGGUUAUCAAAUACCUACUUAAUAUCGUCUCUGUUUUGUACUGAUUAUUAUGUUUCGGCUAAUUCAAUGAUCAAUGUAUGGUAUGAAGGUGCCCCUAUGCUAGACCACCCCGCCAUAUCACAGUAGCGCCUAAGAAAGGAAAAUUACCUAUACAUUUCAAUCCUGACAACAGGAAAACAAUAUCGCAGCUGCUUACUGCCAAAUGGGAUCCUUCUUGCCAGGACGCUAACGUCCUCAUAUGUAACGCCACUGCCACCCAUGUGCUGAUUGAAAAUGGUUGGCACUAUCUUGACUGCCAUCGAUGUAGCAAGAAGGUUAUGGGUGAUGAUGGGGACCUUUGGUGCACUAAAUGUGAUGCCAAAGUUCAAAUGCCCAUUGCAAGGUCGAUGGUUCCUUUUUGCAUCACAGGUUCAUGGUCCGCUUUGAGGUAGAGGACCACACUGGCACCACAGUCUUUGUAGCUCUGGAUAGUGAAGUCCAAAAAAUGGUCCGUUCUACCGCAGCUGAGCUCAUAGGAGCGUCAGAGGUAAACCUCUAGAUUUUGGGUUUGAUGAUAUGUUUUGAGUAUGGCAUCUUUGCAGCUGAAUUUUGGUCCACCCAUGUGUGCAUACUUAUAUAUAUCAUAAAUCCGUUUUCUUAAAAAAAUAAAAAGAGUUCAGUGUAGAGUUUAGUAUAGAAGUUUAAUUGAAUACCUGAGGAGAUUGAUAUUUCUUAUUUCCCUUUCAUUCAUCAAACUAAUGUUACAUUCAGUGGGACCUUUGCUGCACUAAAUGCAAAAUCUGCGGUAAUAUCUGGAUUCUCGCAGAUACUCCAGCGAGUUGUUGAUUUCCAAAUUACUAUCAAUUCCUUCAACAUGAAACAGAAAACACCAACCAGCGAGUUGUUGAUUUCCGAAUUAACCUCACCAACCAGCCUGGCCAAGGUGUUUUUGCGACUGUGAAAGUUGAAGGGGUUUCAAAUAGUGUUGAUGGACCGCACACAAAGAAACCUCGCCUUGACGAAACAACUGGAAUGGAGGAUAAGAAGGAUGAAGUUGUGAAUGAAUUGGGCCUCGCUACAGGAAUAUAAUUGAAUAAAACAUUACAUGAACCUUUAUUCAGUAUUGUUAUUUGUUUGUUUUCUGUUUUCUUUGUUUGAACUCCAUGUUUCGCAGUUUACUUACAGUCUUGAUAAUAGUUAUGCUCUAUUAUCAGGUUACCCAUUUCAACGCUAAGUCUUUUGUUAAAAAAGUUUCGGAACCUUAAUUGUCUGCACUGCAAGAUGGUACUUUAUAUGAUGGCUUAAUACUGCAUCUCUUGCCCUGCGA